UUUAACUAUAACACCACAACCUACGGUUCUCUCGGCCUUGUUAUCUGCAACCCUGGAUUCAACUUCUCUGGUAGCAACAACAGUGUAUCUUGCACGGAAAGUGGCCACUGGGAAAAUGUUUCUGGAAUUUGUAAAGUGGUUGAUUGCGGCCCUGUACCUGAAGCCCAAAACACGCUCAUGUCCUUCAACAGCACAGUGUUUGGAUCAACUGUCACUAUCACAUGUGUCAAUAAUACCGACCUAUAUAAUGGUACUAACACAGGGGUAUGUGAUGAACGUGGCCAGUGGAUAGGGGUGCCUGUGUGUAAGAAAAACUUUCAGUCAAUUGAUGGCUGGGUCUUACUGCUUCG